rnacentral:rRNA from 1 species
UUUCCCAGUCACGAUAUGUAGGAGCGGGGCACGAGAAACCCUGUCUGAACAUGGGGGGACCAUCCUCCAAGGCUAAAUACUCGUAAUCGACCGAUAGUGAACCAGUACCGUGAGGGAAAGGCGAAAAGAACCCCGGGAGGGGAGUGAAAUAGAUCCUGAAACCGUAUGCAUACAAACAGUGGGAGCGGACUUGUUCCGUGACUGCGUACCUUUUGUAUAAUGGGUCAGCGACUUACAUUCAGUAGCAAGCUUAACCGAUAGGGGAGGCGUAGCGAAAGCGAGUCCGAAUAGGGCGUUCAGUUGCUGGGUGUAGACCCGAAACCAAGUGAUCUAUCCAUGGCCAGGAUGAAGGUGCCGUAACAGGUACUGGAGGUCCGAACCCACAAAUGUUGAAAAAUUUGGGGAUGAGCUGUGGAUAGGGGUGAAAGGCUAAACAAACUUGGAAAUAGCUGGUUCUCUCCGAAAACUAUUUAGGUAGUGCCUCGUAUAUCACUCUUGGGGGUAGAGCACUGUUAUGGCUAGGGGGUUCACAAGAACUUACCAAACCAUUGCAAACUCCGAAUACUGAGAAGUGCAAUUACGGGAGACAGUCCAUGGGUGCUAACGUCCGUGGACAAGAGGGAAACAACCCAGACCGCCAGCUAAGGUCCCAAAUGACGUGCUAAGUGGAAAACGAAGUGGGAAGGCAUAGACAGCUAGGAGGUUGGCUUAGAAGCAGCCACCCUUUAAAGAAAGCGUAAUAGCUCACUAGUCGAGUCGUCCUGCGCGGAAGAUGUAACGGGGCUAAGCACGUAACCGAAGCUGCGGACGCAUUUAAUGCGUGGUAGGAGAGCGUUCUGUAGGUCUGUGAAGGUGUUCUGUGAGGAAUGCUGGAGAUAUCAGAAGUGCGAAUGCUGACAUGAGUAGCGAUAAAGGGGGUGAAAAGCCCCCUCGCCGAAAGCCCAAGGUUUCCUGCGCAACGUUCAUCGGCGCAGGGUGAGUCGGCCCCUAAGGUGAGGCAGAGAUGCGUAGCUGAUGGGAAACAGGUUAAUAUUCCUGUACUUUAAUAUGAUGCGAUGUGGGGACGGAGAAGGUUAGGUCAUCCAACUGUUGGAAUAGUUGGUUCAAGCGUGUAGGGAGAUCUCUUAGGCAAAUCCGGGAGGUCAAUUCUGAGACGUGAUGACGAGGCACUUCGGUGCUGAAGUGAUUGAUACCAUGCUUCCAAGAAAAGCCACUAAGCUUCAGUCAUAUUAGAACCGUACCGCAAACCGACACAGGUGGGCAGGAUGAGAAUUCUAAGGCGCUUGAGAGAACCCGGGAGAAGGAACUCGGCAAAUUUGCACCGUAACUUCGGGAGAAGGUGCGCCCCGGUAGGUUGUAGAGAUUUACUCUCGAAGGCCGAUGGGGUUGCAGUGAAAAGGUGGCUGCGACUGUUUAAUAAAAACACAGCACUCUGCAAACACGAAAGUGGACGUAUAGGGUGUGACGCCUGCCCGGUGCCGGAAGGUUAAUUGAUGGGGUGCAAGCUCUUGAUCGAAGCCCCGGUAAACGGCGGCCGUAACUAUAACGGUCCUAAGGUAGCGAAAUUCCUUGUCGGGUAAGUUCCGACCCGCACGAAUGGCGUAACGAUGGCCACACUGUCUCCUCUCGGGACUCAGCGAAGUUGAAAUGUUUGUGAAGAUGCAAUCUACCCGCGGCUAGACGGAAAGACCCCGUGCACCUUUACUAUAGCUUGACUCUGGACGUAUCGUGACUGGGAA